ACAAAACCAGCCACUGUGUAGACACCAUGGCUGAACUCAGGUGAGAAUUCAGACUCAGUCUAGCUGCUGAUGUGACCCUCUUUCCAGCCGCUCUAUAUCUCUCCCUGGGAGCCCCAGCCCUCUCUCUAAGCCCCGCCCCCUGUGCAGAAUGCCUCCUCUAAGCUCUGCCCCUCUGAGGAAUGCCCUGGGCACCAUGCACUCCUAUGCCCCUUGGUCUUGUAGCUGGUUCUCACUAGCAUUUUUGUCACAGCAGAUGUUCGUCAGGUGCCUCUGGGCAAAUGUCCUCAAGCUCGGGGAUGCGUGGGUCAGUCUAUGACAAGCUUGCUCCUGGAAGGUGGAGUUACAAUGUGACACUUUUCAAUUGUUCAGUCUCUUGCUUUCCCUGUGUUUGUGUGUGUAAUGAUGGCAUUCUGGUUCAUGGGGGUGGGGCGGGGCAGGGUAAACCUAUAGUUUAGUUCCUCAGCCCCUCCACGCCCCCAGGUAUCAUUUCAAGUGACCUUAGCCACAAGUGUGUCUAGAGAACAACAUACACAUGGGACAGUGGCCCCAACACAGAAAGGGUCGCAGGCGCACUGUGCUAGAGAGAGAACUCAAGACUUGGGUGGGAAACAUUUUGGAGAGAAGGAAGCCAGUGGGGACCGGCUCCAGUGACUCAGUGAGCUUGUCGGUGGCUAGAGCCAACGCCAGCAUAGGGCCUGGCGCUCAGCCACUGUCCCGAGAAACGGGAGAUGAUGAUUCCCGAGGUAUUUCCAGGUGCUCUCACCUCCAAAUAGCCCCCACCAGCUGCCAUCUUCCUCCAGGAAUCCUGGCUGCCCGAGAGGUCAAUAGAAUGUGACCAAGGCGGCAGUGGGACUGUCAAGGCCGAGUCAGGAAGGCACAGCAGCUUCCCAAUCCCUCCUGUGGCAGAGGCUGACCCUGGUGAUUUGAGUCUCGCAUUUCCAGCUGCGCGCAUGCGAGGUGCCUGUUUUCCGAUAAUGUUUCAUAUGCUCUUGAUGUAGAUUCUCCUGUUGCUCACUGCAGGGCUGUGUGGGAUGCUGACGCUGGCGGGUGGCGGCCUGGGAGGCUCUGCCUGCCUCUGAGGUUCUCCUGCCUUUCUGUCUUCUGGAUUUAUCAGUAAGAAGGGAGGGCUGAGUCUCCAAAUGCAGUAGAGAAUUUACUGAUUCUGCAAAUCUACCUGGUUUCGCCUCCUCCGAUAUGAGACCCUCUCAUCAGGGAGCCCAGCAGCGUGGAUGCCGGGGACGCUAUGGCUUUGAGGACUGGCCCACCGAGCCAAAAGUGGAACCUGUUUGUCCACAAAUCCUUUUCCUCACCGUGAUGGCUGCUUUGCUUGAUGGAUCUGCAGCUGCUUGGCUUACUUUUUGAUUUGUGUGAGCAAAACCGGCACCUUUCUCCACCACUUUACCUUUAGCUUGUGUUUCCGUAUUGAAAGUCAGCCUUUUUGUACACAACAUGUGGUUAGGUCUCACUGCUGUUUAAUUCAUGGAGCUAGUCUCUGACCUCUGACUAGUACAUUUAGGCCACUCCCAUUUAGAGAGAUUUUUCAAAUGGGAAGGGGAGACACAAUAUGUCAGGACAAACUGUCCAUAGCUACAGUGCACGAGCACACCAUUUAGAAAAGCAGGACAGGCUCAGAAUGACAGAAAGACGCACAGGGACCCCUUGGAGGAAGCUGACUUUUAAACUGAGCUUUGAAGGCUCUGACGAACCCUUACUGCUGAGUGAACCACAGGCUCUAAGAACCUGGAAGGGCCGUGGGGACCGUCUAAGCCUCUAUGUUACAUGAAGGAAAAGGGCUGCACAUGUGACUGGUACCACUUUUAUGUUGUUUUGUGAGUUUUAUUGUAUUGUUUUGUGGUGUUUGCCUGUGCCUGAGGGCAGGGAUGGCAGCAGGGUGUAGCAACUCGCUAUGGUGUGAGUUGGAGAACUCUGGGGGAGGGGGGAAAUGCAGUCCACAGAAGUGGGUCAGUUGCCACUGCCACAUGGGAGGGAGACUGGGACAAGCACUGUGGCUGAGGCCCCCUGAGAUGCCAAGUGUCUUUGUCUUUCCCAGCAGAGAGAGGCUAGUUCUUUUAUUCAAGGGGGGAGGAACCGCUUGCCCUAGGGAGGUGAGGCUGGUGUGGGUCCUAUGAUGCAGGCCUUACAAGGAGCAGUUUGAGCCUAGAGAGUUAGGGUGGGAGCAUGAGUAUGCAGAUGGGCUGGAAGGGGGUGUGGGGGAAUGAGAGGGCAGGGCAGCCAUGCUUGCUUCCAGACAUGGGAUGUAGCAGCUUUACAAGGCCCCAGAAUGGGGCAUCCCUCUCCCUCCAAGCUCUUCUGCUAUGUUUAUGAUAGCAUUGGAGAGGGAGCCCGAGAGCCUGGGCAGGGAGAGGGGAGAGCAUGGGGCAGUGGGUCCUGGCAUGUCUGGGUCUAGGGUGGUGACUCUCAGACCCAGUCUCAGGAGGUACGGUGGGACAGAAUCUCUUCAUCCAUGUGUGCGCAUAGGAAUCUCCCAUUCUCCUCCCCAGACUUUUCCCCCAUGUGUGAUGCAUACGACGGUGUCUGCUGGUGUCUGACACCAGAGAAACCAACAACAGGGUGUCCUGCCUCUCUUCCUAGAGGGCAUUGGGGAAGAGAGUCGAGGCACCUCCCUUCUCUGAUGUGGCGGGAAACCUUGGGUCGAGUUUUUUACUCUGGAUGGUGGUACAGUGGGGGCCAGGGCUCACAGCCGAGGUCUGGAACUCUGAUUGGAGCUGUCUUCAGAGCUCUAUUAUGGAGCCCCAGCCCUGGGCAGGAAAGCUCAUUAGCAGACGUAAUAGAUGUGAGCACGUGACUGCUGAGUCUGGUCCCCUAUCCAUUGGACUGGAACUCCUGCUCCUUCUCCAUUAGCAGCAGUGUCUGCAAGUUCGGCCAUCCCUCUGGACCCUUCUGAGUUCUCCCGGGGCUCUGAAUGCAGUCUUUUUUAUGCAAGGAUCUUGGACACGCAAGGGUGUGUGCGGCGCAAGCCUACAAACUCUCUCACCUCUACCAGAGAUAAUAAGGUCAGUAAACAGCAAACUGGGCUGUGAGGCGGGCUCACCAGUGGGGAGGCCUGCAGAAUUCAGCAGGGACGCAGAGAGGAACCCAGGGUGCUGGGUUGUGGAGUGGUAUCCAGAAAACACACUAACCAACCACCCAUGCAAUGUCACUGGGUCCUUGAGAUGUCCUGCAAGCUGGAGCAGGGGCAGCUCUGGGAUUGCAGUCGUCUAAGGGAAGCCAGUGGCUGGGGGUCUGUAAGGAUGCUGGGAGCAGCUAUCGCUUUUUACAGGUCUUUUAUACCCUAGAGCCCAGGCAGGCCAUAAGGACAAAGGGUGCCCGGGACACAAGCAGGUAGUUUGGAAGUUUGGUGUAAAGAAGCAACAUCUACCUUCUCUUUCAACUGUGUGCCAUUGGGCUUGGCCAUGCAUAGCCCACAGUUGGCACAAAUAUUUGGAACCUGUGAGUAAAGAAGCUGGAGGUGGGCUCAGAACGUGCUGCCCAGGCCCAUGUAACAGAUGCCCGAGGAACCACAAGUGCGCGUGUGCACACACACAGGUUGCUGGAAUGAGAGGCCAGGAGGCACUGGAGUGCUCAAAGGCUGCAGAUCUUCCUUCUGGGCCUUGGGGUGUGGGAUGGGGUGGGGGGAAUCUCCCUGAGGGCUCUAAGCUAGAGCAGGACUGGUCCCCUCUUCCCUGUUCCAGCUCCAGAGCUGUCAGCACCGCCCCCUCACCCCCUUUGCAGGAGCAGUGUGCCUCCUGCAGGAGCUUUGGGAACAGUGCCUGGGUGUCCUCCUGCCCUCACCCAGAGAAGCCACUGCAGGGUUGGGGGGCAGGGCACUGAGACUAAGACCACUCAGAGAUGCAACUGAACUGCGGACCAGGGCGGGCUGAGAAGGAAAGGCUAACCCUGUGAGUCUGCACACCCCUCCCUGCCUAGGUGUCUAGCAAUGAAGCCCUGUGCUCUCACAGAACUUUCUGAGGAUGCUCUAGUUCCAUUAUCUCUUAGAGAGAGGAGCAGGCACACUGCACGGGGUCAUUCUCCACUGAGCUUGUUGCUGUGCUCAGGCAGUUCAGGGAAUAAGUAAAUGCUGCUCUCUGCUCUCAGCCGAUGCCCCUGGUGGGAAAGAAGUGGGCUUCAAAUUUCCACUUCACAUCCUUCUGGAGCACGAAGAGUUAAUGGAGCACACAUCAUCCUAAGACAUGUCCCCUCCCAAUCCCUGCUCUCCCCCCAGCCUGCAGCUGUCAGGGAACUCAAAAAAAUGAUGCAGGUUGGCACACGGCCAAUAAGACUCAUCUGUGUAUUGGCUGUGCCCUGCCCUGCUCUUCCUGGGCCACUAAAUACCUUAAUGUCAUUUCCAGUAAAUCCUUUUACUUGUACUUCAAGUUUCCAUUUCCAGACAAGAGAAUCCUCCAGUCAGCCCCUGGGGUCUCUCUGGACUCUUAAGUUUAAGAGUUGGACUCUGUAGGGAACCCCUCUUCCUCAGUGUGCAUCCUGAGCCAUGCAUGGCCACUGGCCAUACACUCACGCUGCUGUUAGUUGUGGGUACCGUCUUGUGGACGCUUCACGAGACAGGUUACUGCAGGACGAGGUCUUCAAGGCAGCUGUGGGCUGAGUGGUGUUCGCCAAGGAGCCUGGGUGAGAACCGAUUUGCAGUGAGUGCAUCACCAGGCUGAGCCAUGGGGUGUUUAAGGUCAGUUCUCUCUAAAGAUGUAGUUGUCCUGAAUGGAUUUUGUGGGUGUGGAUUCCUCACUGGAGAGGUGGGCUGGUGUGAAGGCAGAUUGAGCCUGGUCUCUCUUGCCUGGAGGUGCCGCUGAAGAAGUGAGCUUCAAAUUUCCACUUCACAUCCUUCUGGAGCAUGAAGAGUUAAUGGAGCACUGUGGAAGGGAUGGCAUGGCACAGUUCCAGCCCCAAGAGCAGACAGAGCUAGCAGGGUGUGGGCCUUUACAAGUGUUGGCCAUUGGUAGGCAUAAGGUUUACUUAUGUAAUAAUGUACACAGUUAACUUUAUCAUUUCCUCCUUUGAGAAAAUGCUCUCCCUGCCAAGGUUGAUGAUCCCAUGAACAAAAGAAGCAGCAAGAGUCUGGGAGGUUUGUGUAUUGCAGAAUAGAGGACCAGAAGACCAGCCCCGACAGGGAUUCAUCCUCAAAGAUGCUGAGAGACCGAACCUGCUGUUUUGCUCCCUGAUCCAUCCUGCCUCAAACUGAUGCAGUUUCCAGAGACUUGCUGCUAGAACAGCUUCAGGAAGGACUGCUGAUCCCAGAUGGCCUCGAUUCAUCCGGCCCUUCAGACUGAUGCAGUCAAGAGUUCACUUCAUCCACAUAUGUAGACCUGACAACCAAUGACGUCAGCCAGCUCUCUGUUGAUUUAUCCAUUUCCCCAGUUUCCUUCUGGGAUCCCAAACAGGAGUUCUUGGCCCCAAUGCAUCAGGAAGCAAUAAGAAGAAGACUGUCGUCCCAGUGGCGCAAGUUGGGGUGGAUGGUUUUGGUCAUCUAUGAAUUUAUACAUAUGUUAUUUUAAGGGAUGAUUAACAAAUAAUUAUAAUCUUGGAUGGGGAGGAAACUAAAUGGGGAAUUUAGAAUCAGGGAUUUCUAUCUUUUCCUUUUCUCUAUCCUUUCAGACAAAGGGAAGGGGGCAUGUGGUGGCACACGCCUGGCGAGAAGAAAAAAUGGAGAAUAUAGAGUUGUCAUAUAGAAAUAAAAGGGUAGAUUAUUGAAUCUACUCUGCAACUUAGAACUAUUGCUAUUUUCAAAUAAGGUUAUUUUUUGUUACAUUGGUACAAAAUGCUAUACAUUGAUACAGAUUUAAGGUUUUCAUUGGUAUAAAACUUUGUAUAUUGAUACAAAAUUUAAGGUUAAUUUGUUACAAUGUACUAUGUGUAAAUUUCAACUUUUGUUUGGGUAUUAUGCCUGUGCAACUCAUUUAAAAAUACAAGGUUUAGGGCUGGUGAGAUGGCUCAGUGGGUAAGAGCACCCGACUGCUCUUCCG